GACGAACCGUGCAAACGUUGUUCGGAUUCACUGGGCUUAAAGGGCGCGUAGGCGGGCCAUCAAGUCAGGGGUGAAAUCUUUCGGCUCAACCGGAAAGGUGCCUUUGAUACUGGUGGUCUCGAGGGAGGUAGGGGCAUGCGGAACUUCCGGUGGAGCGGUGAAAUGCGUAGAUAUCGGGAGGAACACCAAUGGCGAAGGCAGCUCGCUGGGACGUGACUGACGCUGAGACGCGAAAGCGUGGGGAGCAAACAGG
rnacentral:rRNA from 1 species